rnacentral:rRNA from 1 species
AGAGUGAACGCUGGCGGUAGGCCUAACACAUGCAAGUCGAACGGCAGCACAGGAGAGCUUGCUCUCUGGGUGGCGAGUGGCGGACGGGUGAGGAAUACAUCGGAAUCUACCUUUUCGUGGGGGAUAACGUAGGGAAACUUACGCUAAUACCGCAUAAGACCUUCGGGUGAAAGCCGGGGACCUUCGGGCCUGGCGCGGAUGGAUGAGCCGAUGUCGGAUUAGCUUGUUGGCGGGUAAAAGCCCACCAAGGCGACGAUCCGUAGCUGGUCUGAGAGGAUGAUCAGCCACACUGGAACUGAGACACGGUCCAGACCGUCCUACGGGAGGCAGCGAGUGGGGAAUAUUGGACAAGUGGGACGCAAGCCUGAACUCCAAGCCAUACCCGGCGUGGGUGAAAGGAGGUCC